rnacentral:rRNA from 1 species
AUUGAACGCUGGCGGCAUGCUUUACACAUGCAAGUCGAACGGCAGCGCGGGCUUCGGCCUGGCGGCGAGUGGCGAACGGGUGAGUAAUGCAUCGGAACGUGCCCAGUAGUGGGGGAUAGCCCGGCGAAAGCCGGAUUAAUACCGCAUACGACCUGAGGGUGAAAGCGGGGGACCGAAAGGCCUCGCGCUAUUGGAGCGGCCGAUGUCGGAUUAGCUAGUUGGUGGGGUAAAGGCUUACCAAGGCGACGAUCCGUAGCUGGUCUGAGAGGACGACCAGCCACACGGGGACUGAGACACGGCCCAGACUCCGACGGGAGGCAGCAGUGGGGAAUUUUGGACAAGGGGGGCAACCCUGAUCCAGCCAUGCCGCGUGCGGGAAGAAGGCCUUCGGGUUGUAAACCGCUUUUGUUCGGGAAGAAAUCCUCUGGGCUAAUACCCCGGGGGGAUGACGGUACCGGAAGAAUAAGCACCGGCUAACUACGU